UAUAUGGAGAGUUUGAUCCUGGCUCAGGACGAACGCUGGCGGCGUGGAUAAGGCAUGCAAGUCGAACGCGAACGGAACAACUAAUUCGUUAGUAGUUCCUAGUAGAGUGGCGAACGGGUGAGUAACGCGUGGAUAACAUACCUUUCAGUGGGGAAUAACAUCGGGAAACUGAUGCUAAUACCGCAGAUGUCAUUUCAUUGAUUUUGAUUUGACUGAAGGGGGGGCUCCUUCGGGACCUUCCGCUGAUAGAUUGGUCCGCGUCCCAUUAGCUAGUUGGUGGGGUAAAGGCCUACCAAGGCGACGAUGGGUAGCCGGCCUGAGAGGGUGUCCGGCCACACUGGGAUUGAGAUACGGCCCAGACUCCUUCGGGAGGCAGCAGUCGAGAAUCUUCCACAAUGUACGAAAGUAUGAUGGAGCGACGCCGCGUGUGUGAUGAAGGCUCAACGAGUUGUAAAGCACUGUCAGAGGGGAAGAACCGGCGUGUAGAUAAUAAAUGCACGCUCUGACGUACCCUCAGAGGAAGCUCCGGCUAACUCCGUGCCAGCAGCCGC
rnacentral:rRNA from 2 species